rnacentral:rRNA from 1 species
UACGAAGGGGGCUAGCGUUGCUCGGAAUUACUGGGCGUAAAGCGCACGUAGGCGGCUUCUUAAGUCGGAGGUGAAAUCCUGGAGCUCAACUCCAGAACUGCCUUCGAUACUGGGGAGCUCGAGUCCGGGAGAGGUGAGUGGAACUGCGAGUGUAGAGGUGAAAUUCGUAGAUAUUCGCAAGAACACCAGUGGCGAAGGCGGCUCACUGGCCCGAUACUGACGCUGAGGCACGAAAGCGUGGGGAGCAAACAGG